CGUUGCCAGGCGACGCGGCCGGCGCGCGCCCGGGGCCUGCCGGUGUCACAGGGGGGAAGGGGACGGGACGGGAACGGAACGGAACGGUGCCGGGACUGCUGCCGCAGGGCCCUGCGUCUGCCCGCUCUCCCCGGGCCGGAGGCUCGGUUACCGCCUGCCGUCCUCUUUUGGCUCCGGGCCUGGUGCGAAAGGCUGCCCCCGGGUACUGCCGGGCUCCCGUGGGUCUGUGAAGCGAAGCGAAGUCACUUGUCAGCGGCUGCUCCGCCUUCCGGGCCGCCGCCCUGCCGGGAGAGCCACCGGGGCGACUGCGUUUGUUCAUCAGAGGGGAUAGCUCAACAUGAACUUUAACCAUCAAGAUCAAUUGAAAAGUGAACAGAAUAAUAUUUUUCCUUCUGUGAGCUGCCUAGAGGAUUCUCCUGCAGUGCUGUCCUAUUCUCAACCUUUUCCUAAAACAGGACAUGGAGCUGUGUUCCUUUCUUCCCGUUAGGUGCUAAUUAAGUUACUUGCUUCAUCAGAGGAAAUGCAGAUCCAUGAAAUUGCAUUUUGUGCAAGUUGUUGUUAACUCUUUUGGCAAUGUCUAUGAUUUUGUCUGCCUCUGUGGUCCGUGUGAGGGAUGGACUCCCACUAUCUGCAUCUACUGAUUAUGAUCAGAGCACAGGAAUGCAAGAAUGUAGAAAAUACUUUAAAAUGCUCUCAAAGAAACUUUCUCAGCUUCCUGAUAGAUGUACUCUGAAAACUGGGCAGUAUAAUAUAAACUUUAUCAGUUCUCUGGGAGUCAGCUAUAUGAUGUUAUGCACUGAAAAUUAUCCCAAUGUUCUGGCUUUCUGCUUCCUGGAUGAGCUUCAGAAAGAAUUCAUCACUACUUACAAUAUGAUGAAGACAAAUACUGCUGUCAGACCAUACUGCUUUAUAGAGUUUGAUAAUUUCAUUCAGAGGACCAAACAGAGGUACAACAACACACGUUCUUUGUCAACAAAGAUGAAUCUUGCUGACAUGCAGACAGAAAUCAAACUGAGACCACCUUAUCAAAUUUCUGUGUCAGAACUUGGGUCAACCAAUGGAUUUGCACAUUUAUCUGCAACAGAAUAUAAGGGUACUGGUAAGAUAUCUGCAGCUCCUCAUCAGCGUCUGGAACCUGUGACUCUCCCCGGGAUUGUCUCAUUUGUACUUAGUCUGCUGUGUGGGGCUUUGAAUUUAAUUCGAGGCUUUCAUGCCAUAGAAAGUCUUCUCCAGAAUGAAGGUGAAGAUUUCAGCUAUGUUAUUGCAUUUUUUCUUGGAACAGCAGCUUGCUUGUACCAGUGUUACCUGUUUGUAUACUACACAGGCUGGAGGAAUGCCAAAUCCUUCCUGACUUUUGGGUUGAUUUGCUUGUGUAACAUGUAUCUGUAUGAACUACGCAACCUCUGGCAGCUUUUCUUUCAUGUGACUGUGGGAGCAUUUUCUACCUUACAAAUUCGACUGCGACAACCACAGGAAAAGUCCCCUGAUUACAAUGUCUGACAAGUCCUGGGACAUUUAGAGGCAGUCUUGUUCCAACAGAUACUUACUCUCAGGAAUGUAAAGCUGUUCUCCAGAAGAAGAAACUGUCUGGAUGGGGCUUUUUAAUUUGUUCUUUUUUUGUUGUUUUUUUAAUAUGUAAAAAUACUGGACUAGAGCAGGAAAACUGAUCUUAUCCAUGUGGUGAAAUAUACAUAGGGACACCAAGGUUGGGGAAUUUUUUCUGGUGGCAUGAAAAAAGCUUAAUUCAAAAGUCUAUUAAUAGGAAGAAUGUACAGAGUAUAUCUUUGGCAUAUCAUGCAAGCUCUUAACUUCCAAAGUCAGUUUUGCCUUUGUGAGGCAGUAGAAGAUAGGCUAAAAAAUAAUAAUAGUAGUGCUAUUGCAUACUAGCAAACUACAUUUGGAAUAUAUAAGAUAAAAAUUUUUGGAAUGUUUUGUUUCACAUUGACAUAUAUGUGAAUGUUUUCUUAAUUAAAAUGUAACCUGGAAACUGUUUCUGGGGAUCAGCUUUAUGAUACCCGUGGUCCUCUGUCUAGUGUUAUAAAUACUUCAACGUUUUUUAAUUGAUGAUUUCCUUUUAAUUAUCCUUUGAAGGUGAUCUAUGAGUACAGGGUUUCUUUUUAGUAAUUAUGCAAAAUGUUCUGCUGCUUAAGACAGGAUUUUGCACGCUUCCUUUGUUUGAACUCUGAAAGGAAGGUCUAAAGGAAAUGGAUUGGUGGUAUUAGUCAAGAAAAUGAUGCAUAAUACAAUCAAGAAGACUUAGAGAAUGGAAUUGUAAUGCAGAGUGAAUGGGAGCAAUACAUACUUUAUUCUUCAUAAUGUGGUUCUCAGACUCUUGUCUGAAAUUAAGACCUUGAAGAUCCCUUGGUGUGCAGCCUUGGAGUUUGGUGUUGAUGAUGUACUUUAAUUCUUCCCUCCCCAUUUUGAAAGAGACAAGAAGAAUGCAUUAAUGAACAGUUUGCUUUUGUUUGGGGAAGGAAGAGAAAAGGUCUGAAGGACUGGAUGGAAGGAGACAAGAAUUUUAGGAAAUGUUUACACUAUGAGUGUUUUUUAAAUCCAGCAGAAGAGAAACCAGUCUUUGCUUAUCACUGAGACAUUUGGUUGUGUUAGCAUUUGGGGCACUUUUCUGAACUCUCAGCACCAGGAAAGGUGAAAAGCAGUCCUUUACCAUUUUAAGACAGUGAUUGAAAAAUACAGCUAGUCACGUAUAAAGCCAGGUUUCGUCUUGCUUAUAAAGUCUAGAAGAGUCCUUAUACCUGUCUUUUCACUUCAUCUCCAUUGAUGGGCUGGGAAGCUAUUAGGAAUGCCUGGAGUACUGCUUAGUUUUUAAUUCAGGUUGUUGUGUACAUGGAGAAUUUUCUGUUGCCUCAUUUCUUCAGUUUAUAUGUUGGCAGAGAAUCUUGUUUUCUCUGAGACUCUUUCCC